AGAAAGGAAAGCAGAGCUUGGCUUUGGCAUCACUAAAGUAGCACAGCUGUCAGCAUGAAUGAACUGCUGUUUCUGCUGCAAAUCCUUUGCAACUGCUGAGAUGGAUCAGGAGGAAAAGCAUGACAAAACAGACUUUGAGAACAAGAAUUGCCUGGCAGGCAUUGGGAACGCAAGACCAGCUUCAAGACUGUUUGGAGCAGGGAAGAAGAUGGAAGACACUGAGACAAGUGAAAAGUCUGCAACCAAAAAGAGAGAAGAUAUUACACCCGGGCUAAAAAAUCAAGGACAUUUAACAGCCCCA